GACAGACAGAAACAGAGAGAGACAGACAGACAGAAACAGAGAGAGACAGACAGACAGAAACAGAGACAGACAGACAGACAGAAACAGAGAGAGACAGACAGACGAUCCUGGACGAGUCCAGCCCGUCUGACCCGGAUAAUAUUCUCUUUUUCAUUAAAUCUGAGCUCAACUUUCAACUCUUCUGACUCAAAAUGUGUUUUUUAUAAAUGGGUGAAAAAUGAAAGACUUGAACUUUGAGGAUUUUCUAGUUUUAGCUCCUUUAACUUCGACAGAUUUCAGCUCCACCCAGAAACACGGAGAGGAGAAAUAUUAAGAUUCAGACCAAAAUGAAACAGCAAAAGCUGUUUAAUUACAGACACAAACACGGCCGAGAAUUAUAGAACAGCGUGACGAGGAUUAAUUACAGCUAUAAGACCUGCAGCUAAUGUUCAGAGCGACGCUAAUGCUAAUGACAGGAGAGGCUCCCCUGCAGCUUUAACUCACUGACCUUCACUCACCUGCAGAAAUGCAACCAGCUAAUAAUCCACUGGAUGUUUUAUGGAUCUGUUAGGAAGUAAAAUGUUGAAAUAUUGUUUAAAAUAUAAGAUUUAAUAAAUAUAAAAGGCAUUUGGCCUUAUUAAUAAAGUGAGAUAUCAUGAACCAACUAAUAAACUCAAAGUUAUAUCUGCAGAUUUAAAGACAUUGUUUGCACUAAAAUACUCUAAAUAAUGUAUAAAGAGAUGAACACAAGUUUUCCUUCUGGAAUUCAGAAAAGAUUUAAAGGUUAGAAAAGUUAGAAUAGAUACACAAAACCUGUUUAUUACAUUUUUAUAUCAAAUCUUUUUGUCUAUUUUAGAUGUUUUACUUCAGAUGUUUUAGUUUCCUGCUGAGGUUUAAAGAUGUAGCAGCUGAUAUUACUGUGCAGAUGUAUAAAUGUGUUGUUUAUCCAUAACUGUGUCAUAUUUAAAUAAUUCUCUGAUCAUGUUUAAUAAUGUUUGUUUCUUCAUGAACAGGACAAGUUAUCAGUUUCUAUUAAAAAUAGUAUUUUAUGUUAAUUUAUUUUCUGUAAUGUUGUAAGUUUACCAAACUGAAGUUAAUCUAAAUGUCAGGUGAGUUUCUUCUUCUCUGUCCAGUUUUAUGCUGACGUGUUUUUCCAGUCCAGUCGUUGUGAUGGGAUCUAACUGGAAACCAGUUGUUGGUGCUGGGAGAUAAUAAAUAGUCUGCAGGAUUUCAUGGCCUGUCAGUUUGUGCUACAGUAACAUCAGGACUGAAGGGAAACGGCGCCGUUAACGAGGCAGAGUAACGGCUGAUUGGACGCCUGCCGCCGGACCGCCGUCCGUCAUCCUGACGGGCUGUCCAGGGGCCGGCGCCGCGCCGCGGCCCCAUCAGGUUCCCCACUAUUUUAGUCCCACUGUGGACGUGUUCCUGUCAGGAGGAAGGGCCGCUCGUCUUCAUCAGCCGCAGGACAGAAACCUGUCAGCAGGAACUCAAACCGUCCAGAACAACCAGAACGGACCAGUUAAAGCCCAACGCACCAGUUCAUCCAGGAAGUGAAACGAUUUAUCCAGGAAAGCAGCUGAUUGGACCAGAGGAGAGAAACGUGUUGAGUUGUUUUCUUUCAGGUUCAGGAUGAAAUCUGUUCGGUUUAUUCAGAAUUCAUCUGGUGGCUUUAAAAUCAGCAGCCUGGGAUCAACGCGUCCAUUUUUACAGUGCAGAGAGUCACAGUGAUAACGCAGCAUCACACACCCACAUGCAGCCCGGUGUGUGUGUGUGUGUGUGUGUGUGUGUGUGUCAUCGGCCAGCGUAGCCGGCAGGAGAAGGCAGCUGUCUGACCACAUCUACACACACUGCAGGAGAAGGUGCUCACACACACACACACACAUUCUCUCUCACACACACACACACACACACUCUGAGCUGCAUGUGAGCCGUUCAUCUCCAUGAGGGAAGUCGAGGCAAAAACCGGUGAACCAGUCAGGAUCCUCCGUUCAUUAACCCUCAUUAAGCAGGCAGGGAGUGUGUGUGGUGUGUGUGUGUGGUGUGUGUGUGUGUGUUCAGAGUUUACAGACCGGUACGUCACACAGAGUUUGUUUAUCAUAAAUAUCAUCACUUUGGUAACAAUACCUGUAAAUAUUUCAUUAAUCUCUAAAACCUUUAAUGAAAAAUUACAGUUAUAAAUAAAAGAGUAAAAAUGGUAAAAAUGUGAUUCUAAAACUGAAUGUUUAAUAAAAGCUUCUGAUAAAAUCAGAGAGAAAACAAGAAACAUUUUGUGUAAAUUCAGGAAGAAAGUUUUUCACUAAAACAAAAAACAUUUUCUGAUGCAAACGUUAAAAUUAGAACGUUUUUAUAAUCUAACUUUCUGAUUUUUACAUCAAGUAAAACUUUCUCUCCAAUAAUCCACAAACAUAAAAAGGUUUCAGUAAAAAUGAUCUCUGUGCCUUACCAGAGCCACCAGUCUGUGUCUGUGCCUCUGGUACGGCAGCAACAUGUUCGUUAAAUAUGUUUAGAAAACCUGAACUGGAUCAUUCUGGUGAAGUCAUGGAUUUAUUGGGACCAAAUUAUUGGGAAAGUUCAGCUAAAUUUUAAUAAUCUGUUCAGAAUUUAUUAAAUAGAUCCAGUCUGACAACAUGAAGUAGGCAAGACAAACUUUACCUAGCAACAAGAAAAAUAUAUGUUUUUUUUUUCAUAACACAAAGUCACUAAUAAACAACUUCAAGAUAAUUUGACAUCGUUCUCUUGGAGUUUGUCUGAACAGUCUUUACAUUAUUAUUGUUGUUAAUAAAUGGUGUUUAUGUUA